GGGGCUGGGUGAGUCGACCCCUAAGGCGAGGCCGAAAGGCGUAGUCGAUGGGAAAAUGGUUAAUAUUCCAUUACUUCUGUGUAAUGCGAUGAGAGGACGGAGAAGGCUAAAUCAGCCUGGCGUUGGUUGUCCAGGUGAAAGGAUGUAGGCAUGUAUCUUAGGCAAAUCCGGGGUACUCUAUGCUGAGAUCUGAUAGCAAGCUGUACUUGUACAGCGAAGUGGUUGAUGCCAUGCUUCCAGGAAAAGUCUCU
rnacentral:rRNA from 1 species